rnacentral:tRNA from 3 species
UGGUCCGUUGGUCAAGGGGUUAAGACACCGCCUUUUCACGGCGGUAACACGGGUUCGAAUCCCGUACGGACUA